AAAUUGAAGAGUUUGAUCAUGGCUCAGAUUGAACGCUGGCGGCAGGCCUAACACAUGCAAGUCGAACGGUAACAGGAAACAGCUUGCUGUUUCGCUGACGAGUGGCGGACGGGUGAG
rnacentral:rRNA from 1 species